GAUUUUAACGUUUUAAUAAUAUUCACCUACGUAUCUUUUAAACAUGAUUUUUUAAAUUUGUUUGAAAAAGAAAGUUUUAAUUUCAGCCAGUUCAUGGAACAUCUUGGGCUAACCAUGUAGCGGUAGCCGCACAAAACUGCCGCACUAAAAAAACUUGAGUUUGCUUAAAACGCAUUUACUGGUUUUCAAGUUGUUGUAGUUGUUUGGAAAUAAGUGGAGCUAUGGUGGCAGCUGUGUACCGAUGAACAGAACCAGUUGAGGUACUGUUAAGGUCAAGAAUGAGUGUAUUACUAUAGCCCUUCUGCUCAAGUACUGGCCCUUACAUUCUUGAAAAUGGAGGUCACAAUGACAGUAUUAUUGGGUCAUUAGGGAAAUUUUAUGUCUGAAUUGCAGUAUUUCUCAGCUGCUAGACAAUCAUGGCAGCUGUGUAGCAGUAAAACAAUGUCAUGUGACCAGACUGAGAAACCGUGGGACAUUGUUUACAUUCUUCCACUUGUGACAAAUUCAAACACUCAGAGAGUUGGUAUUACAUGAUUUACCUGAGGAUAGGUGGUCAAAUGAAGCAUCAAAUUUGUGAUUUCUUUACUGUGAUGUGGAAAGAAUGGGAGCCCAGCAGUAGACAGGACAAAUGCAUAUACAGAAGAUGAUUGUCAACAUUCUGUGACUUCAGUAUGUUACAUGUCAAGAAUGGAAUAGGUGCAGCACAAUUGUUUUGACUAACUGCUAGCCAAAGAUGAAAUCAUUUUCUGCUUCAUUAAACCAGAGUACUGCUCAUCAAAUUUUGGUUACUCUUUCUCAUAAGGUUGUGUGUAACGGUGGAAAAUUGUACUGGCCACAAAGUUUUCGUAACCAUACAUCCGUAUGUCAGGC